rnacentral:lncRNA from 1 species
CCUUCCCAUGCUUUCUCCCCCAUUAAAUGUAGGAAAUUAGCUGAUCCUGAGAUGUUGGUUUGUCACAUAAGAGCUACAAUAAUUGAAACAGACUGUCUUGCAGCCUUAAAAUUUAUAUUUAUUCAAACAUAGAGGAAAUCCAAAAAUUACAAAGUUUUUGCACACAUCAGGACCAAUACAGCAAUAUGUAUGCACUUCAAGUUAAUAACCAUUUUUAAUGUUAAGUAUUGGUGGUGAAUAUCUACCUGCAGGGGGGGAGGGGGGGCCUGACCGCCAUACUGAUAGGUCGCAGUUCAGACGAGCUCCGUGAGAGAACUCAGAAUUGUCCUAUUCUACCAACUCUAGUAAACGGCAUUGCUUACACUAAUGACGACGACAUCUUGCUAAGCUACUUUUAGAAGCAGCCGGAGGCAAGAACUCUAGCCUGAGCUCGACAGGAUUCUUGCAGCCUACCAGAAAGAGCGAGCGCAGGAGGGGCGGCUGGCAUCUCUCCAGGAACCAGUGGUGGCGGGAUAUCCCGGCACCCAGUUCACGGCUGUAGUCUUGAGCCGUUGGUGGAAUUGCAACUCGGCAGCCAUACCAAGGAAAGAGGCCUGCCACGUUGCCUAAUUAAGAUAGCAGACACAAUGCAGACACCCACCACUCAAAGCCCGCUAGAGAUAACGAGGCGACUGGAUGCAAUAUUGUUGAAAUCUGCAAAGUCAAUCUCCUCAACUGUUUUGUUGAUAAUUGGUAAAUCACUUUUCACUUAGUAGACGGGGACCUCAUGCCAGCUUCUUCAGUUAUCUAGCUUAAAGGGACACUCCAGGCACCCAGACCAAUUCUGCCCAUUGGAGUGGUCUGGAUGCCAACCCCCACUACCCUUAACCCUGCAACUGUAAAUAUUGCAGUUUUCAUAAACUGCAAUAUUUACAUUGCAGGGUUAAUUGCUCCUCUAGUGGCUGUCUACUAGACAGCCACUAGAGGGCAUUUCCUGGUUUAUAGCACAGCUAUGUGAGGACCUCCAGCAUUGCUAAAAUCCCCAUAGGAAAGCAUUGAAAGAAUUUUCAAUGCUUUCCUAUGAGGAUGUCUAAUGCGGGUGCAAGGCAUUGCUGCACAUGCGCAUUAGGUCUCAUCCCGCAGGCGGCCGCGCAUGCACAAUCUGUCUCCCCCGCAGGAUGACGUCGGCAGGGGAGGAGCGUCGGCAGACCCUAAACCACCGAGGGACAUCGGUGGUGUCUCAGGUAAGUCACUGAAGGGGUUUUCACCCCUUCAGCAACAUGAGAUGGGGGGUUGGGAGGGGACCUGCAGUGCCAGGAAAACGAUUUAAUAAAACCAUUCGUCAUACUAUUGUAAAAUUGUGCAUUGUAUUUUUUUUCACUGGUUAGCAGGUAAACAAUAAUCUUAACACUUUCAUCUCUUAUAUUUUGCAAUGUUUUAGUUCUGUUAAGCGACCAUCACUUUUUCUUUCUAUUGUUACCAUGCCAGAACUGUAAGCAUAUAUAGACCAAGCAGGUGCCUAUGUCAUAUACUUUAAAAAAUAUACCAUGACUAUCAUUUCUGCUCCAUAUUAUAAAAUUGUGCAGACCCUCUACUUGCCAUGUUAGGAAAUGUACAAUGAUAUUAUGCGUGUGACUGCUGUUGUGGCAACACAGGCUUGAUGUAAAAAUUUGUCUAAGUAUGAAAUUAGGAGGCGUACACAUAAAGAUAAGGUUAUUUAAACCUUUAAAAUGUGUAAAAAAGCUUGUGGCUUAAUAACCAUUCUGUCCAAUCUAUGAUUAAAGCCAUGCAUUAUAAAAAUGGUUAACUUUUUUCCCUUUGGUUUUUACUUUAUGUAUUGGGGCUGCUAUGUCUGCUAUGGUCGUUGCUGCCACCCAAGAGUAGUGGGAGUUUGAGCGCAAGACUUGUUUUUGUGUAUUUAUAAAAAUGGUAAUACUUGGGAGGUAAAAUAUAAUUUACACAAAUGAUUUUACUAUAUAUGUUUAAAUGAAUACAUUCUUAAUACAUAUGGGAGUCUGGCUUGCAAUGGCGGGUCAAAGGUGAUAAUAACUGGGCCUUCAUCAAUCUAUCUGAACAAGGACCAUAUGUGUUGAACAUUGAUAUACAAUGGACAUAUGUCCUAUAAUUAAUACUAGAUGUCUAGGAAGGGCCUCCCAGGUCCUGUGUAUGAAAGAAGUCUGAAAUUAAAUUAUUCACAACUAAUACAAGAAAAUGAAAAAUAUAAGAAAAUAUAACUUUUGUUUGAAGUUUGUAUUAACAUGGGGGUUGGGGAAACUAGCCUUUCUCUUGGAAUGUCCAAGGUUAUUGUGUCCUGGGAUAAAAAUAAAAAACC